GCUCUCGUAGCUUAGCUGAUAGAGCCUGCGCUGUGGAAAAGCGCAGGCGGCGUCCAUGCGUAGGUUCGAAUCCUACCGAAACUA
rnacentral:tRNA from 1 species